GGUGCUAUCGUCUAGUGGUAGGACAACACGUUGUGGCCCCUGGCUCUGAAACAGCAUCCGUGUAAACGACGGUUCGAUCCCGUCUGGCACCA